rnacentral:rRNA from 1 species
GAUGAACGCUGGCGGCGUGCCUAACACAUGCAAGUCGAGCGGCAGCGAGGGGUGCUUGCACCCUGUCGGCGAGCGGCGGACGGCUGAGUAACGCGUGGGAACGUGCCCCAAAGUGAGGAAUAACUGCCCGAAAGGGUAGCUAAUACCGCAUAUUAUCUUCGGAUCAAAGGAUUUAUCCGCUUUGGGAGCGGCUCGCGUCGGAUUAGGUAGUUGGUGAGGUAAUGGCUCACCAAGCCGACGAUCCGUAGCUGGUCUGAGAGGAUGACCAGCCAGACUGGAACUGAGACACGGUCCAGACUCCUACGGGAGGCAGCAGUGAGGAAUCUUCCACAAUGGGCGAGAGCCUGAUGGAGCAACGCCGCGUGCAGGACGAAGGCCUUCGGGUUGUAAACUGCUUUUAUAAGUGAGGAAUAUGACGGUAACUUAUGAAUAAGGAUCGGCUAACUACGUG